rnacentral:rRNA from 1 species
GGGUUGUGAGGUUAAGCGACUAAGCGUACACGGUGGAUGCCCUGGCAGUCAGAGGCGAUGAAGGACGUGCUAAUCUGCGAUAAGCGUCGGUAAGGUGAUAUGAACCGUUAUAACCGGCGAUUUCCGAAUGGGGAAACCCAGUGUGAUUCGUCACACUAUCAUUAACUGAAUCCAUAGGUUAAUGAGGCGAACCGGGGGAACUGAAACAUCUAAGUACCCCGAGGAAAAGAAAUCAACCGAGAUUCCCCCAGUAGCGGCGAGCGAACGGGGAGCAGCCCAGAGCCUGAAUCAGUGUGUGUGUUAGUGGAAGCGUCUGGAAAGGCGCGCGAUACAGGGUGACAGCCCCGUACACAAAAAUGCACAUGCUGUGAGCUCGAUGAGUAGGGCGGGACACGUGGUAUCCUGUCUGAAUAUGGGGGGACCAUCCUCCAAGGCUAAAUACUCCUGACUGACCGAUAGUGAACCAGUACCGUGAGGGAAAGGCGAAAAGAACCCCGGCGAGGGGAGUGAAAAAGAACCUGAAACCGUGUACGUACAAGCAGUGGGAGCACGCUUAGGCGUGUGACUGCGUACCUUUUGUAUAAUGGGUCAGCGACUUAUAUUCUGUAGCAAGGUUAACCGAAUAGGGGAGCCGAAGGGAAACCGAGUCUUAACUGGGCGUUAAGUUGCAGGGUAUAGACCCGAAACCCGGUGAUCUAGCCAUGGGCAGGUUGAAGGUUGGGUAACACUAACUGGAGGACCGAACCGACUAAUGUUGAAAAAUUAGCGGAUGACUUGUGGCUGGGGGUGAAAGGCCAAUCAAACCGGGAGAUAGCUGGUUCUCCCCGAAAGCUAUUUAGGUAGCGCCUCGUGAAUUCAUCUCCGGGGGUAGAGCACUGUUUCGGCAAGGGGGUCAUCCCGACUUACCAACCCGAUGCAAACUGCGAAUACCGGAGAAUGUUAUCACGGGAGACACACGGCGGGUGCUAACGUCCGUCGUGAAGAGGGAAACAACCCAGACCGCCAGCUAAGGUCCCAAAGUCAUGGUUAAGUGGGAAACGAUGUGGGAAGGCCCAGACAGCCAGGAUGUUGGCUUAGAAGCAGCCAUCAUUUAAAGAAAGCGUAAUAGCUCACUGGUCGAGUCGGCCUGCGCGGAAGAUGUAACGGGGCUAAACCAUGCACCGAAGCUGCGGCAGCGACGCUGAUGCGUUGUUGGGUAGGGGAGCGUUCUGUAAGCCUGCGAAGGUGUGCUGUGAGGCAUGCUGGAGGUAUCAGAAGUGCGAAUGCUGACAUAAGUAACGAUAAAGCGGGUGAAAAGCCCGCUCGCCGGAAGACCAAGGGUUCCUGUCCAACGUUAAUCGGGGCAGGGUGAGUCGACCCCUAAGGCGAGGCCGAAAGGCGUAGUCGAUGGGAAACAGGUUAAUAUUCCUGUACUUGGUGUUACUGCGAAGGGGGGACGGAGAAGGCUAUGUUGGCCGGGCGACGGUUGUCCCGGUUUAAGCGUGUAGGCUGGUUUUCCAGGCAAAUCCGGAAAAUCAAGGCUGAGGCGUGAUGACGAGGCACUACGGUGCUGAAGCAACAAAUGCCCUGCUUCCAGGAAAAGCCUCUAAGCAUCAGGUAACAUCAAAUCGUACCCCAAACCGACACAGGUGGUCAGGUAGAGAAUACCAAGGCGCUUGAGAGAACUCGGGUGAAGGAACUAGGCAAAAUGGUGCCGUAACUUCGGGAGAAGGCACGCUGAUAUGUAGGUGAAGUCCCUCGCGGAUGGAGCUGAAAUCAGUCGAAGAUACCAGCUGGCUGCAACUGUUUAUUAAAAACACAGCACUGUGCAAACACGAAAGUGGACGUAUACGGUGUGACGCCUGCCCGGUGCCGGAAGGUUAAUUGAUGGGGUUAGCGCAAGCGAAGCUCUUGAUCGAAGCCCCGGUAAACGGCGGCCGUAACUAUAACGGUCCUAAGGUAGCGAAAUUCCUUGUCGGGUAAGUUCCGACCUGCACGAAUGGCGUAAUGAUGGCCAGGCUGUCUCCACCCGAGACUCAGUGAAAUUGAACUCGCUGUGAAGAUGCAGUGUACCCGCGGCAAGACGGAAAGACCCCGUGAACCUUUACUAUAGCUUGACACUGAACAUUGAGCCUUGAUGUGUAGGAUAGGUGGGAGGCUUUGAAGUGUGGACGCCAGUCUGCAUGGAGCCGACCUUGAAAUACCACCCUUUAAUGUUUGAUGUUCUAACGUGGACCCGUAAUCCGGGUUGCGGACAGUGUCUGGUGGGUAGUUUGACUGGGGCGGUCUCCUCCUAAAGAGUAACGGAGGAGCACGAAGGUUGGCUAAUCCUGGUCGGACAUCAGGAGGUUAGUGCAAUGGCAUAAGCCAGCUUGACUGCGAGCGUGACGGCGCGAGCAGGUGCGAAAGCAGGUCAUAGUGAUCCGGUGGUUCUGAAUGGAAGGGCCAUCGCUCAACGGAUAAAAGGUACUCCGGGGAUAACAGGCUGAUACCGCCCAAGAGUUCAUAUCGACGGCGGUGUUUGGCACCUCGAUGUCGGCUCAUCACAUCCUGGGGCUGAAGUAGGUCCCAAGGGUAUGGCUGUUCGCCAUUUAAAGUGGUACGCGAGCUGGGUUUAGAACGUCGUGAGACAGUUCGGUCCCUAUCUGCCGUGGGCGCUGGAGAACUGAGGGGGGCUGCUCCUAGUACGAGAGGACCGGAGUGGACGCAUCACUGGUGUUCGGGUUGUCAUGCCAAUGGCACUGCCCGGUAGCUAAAUGCGGAAGAGAUAAGUGCUGAAAGCAUCUAAGCACGAAACUUGCCCCGAGAUGAGUUCUCCCUGACUCCUUGAGAGUCCUGAAGGAACGUUGAAGACGACGACGUUGAUAGGCCGGGUGUGUAAGCGCAGCGAUGCGUUGAGCUAACCGGUACUAAUGAACCGUGAGGCUUAACCUUACAACGCCGAAGCUGUU